GAUGAACGCUGGCGGCGUGCUUAACUCAUGCAAGUCGAACGGAAAGGCCACAGCUUGCUGUGGUACUCGAGUGGCGAACGGGUGAGUAACACGUGGGUGAUCUGCCCUGUACUUCGGGAUAAGCUUGGGAAACUGGGUCUAAUACCGGAUAGGAAUCACAUGUGGGUGUGUGGUUGGAAAGCUUUUGCGGUAUGGGAUGAGCUCGCGGCCUAUCAGCUUGUUGGUGGGGUAAUGGCCUACCAAGGCGUCGACGGGUAGCCGGCCUGAGAGGGUGUACGGCCACAUUGGGACUGAGAUACGGCCCAGACUCCUACGGGAGGCAGCAGUGGGGAAUAUUGCACAAUGGGCGCAAGCCUGAUGCAGCGACGCCGCGUGGGGGAUGACGGCCUUCGGGUUGUAAACUCCUUUCGUCAGGGACGAAGCGAAAGUGACGGUACCUGGAUAAGAAGCACCGGCUAACUACGUG
rnacentral:rRNA from 1 species